CCAGACUCCUACGGGAGGCAGCAGUGGGGAAUAUUGCACAAUGGGGGAAACCCUGAUGCAGCGACGCCGCGUGAGCGAUGAAGUAUUUCGGUAUGUAAAGCUCUAUCAGCAGGGAAGAAAAUGACGGUACCUGACUAAGAAGCCCCGGCUAACUACGUGCCAGCAGCCGCGGUAAUACGUAGGGGGCAAGCGUUAUCCGGAUUUACUGGGUGUAAAGGGAGCGUAGACGGCUGUGCAAGCCAGAUAUGAAAGCCCGGGGCUCAACCAUGGGACUGCUUUUGAAACUGUCAAACUAGAGUACGGGAGAGCUAAGAGGAAUUCCUAGUGUAGCGGUGAAAUGCGUAGAUAUUAGGAGGAACACCAGUGGCGAAGGCGGUCUGCUGGACAGCAACUGACGGUGAGGCGCGAAAGCGUGGGGAGCAAACAGGAUUAGAUACCCUGGUA
rnacentral:rRNA from 1 species